rnacentral:rRNA from 1 species
UUGCCCUAGUAACGGCGAAGUGAAGCGGCAACAGCUCAAAUUUGAAAUCUGGCCUCGGCCCGAGUUGUAAUUUGCAGAGGAAGCUUUAGGCGCGGCACCUCCUGAGUCCCCUGGAACGGGGCGCCAUAGAGGGUGAGAGCCCCGUAUAGUUGGAUGCCUAGCCUGUGUAAAGCUCCUUCGACGAGUCGAGUAGUUUGGGAAUGCUGCUCAAAAUGGGAGGUAAAUUUCUUCUAAAGCUAAAUACCGGCCAGAGACCGAUAGCGCACAAGUAGAGUGAUCGAAAGAUGAAAAGCACUUUGAAAAGAGGGUUAAAUAGCACGUGAAAUUGUUGAAAGGGAAGCGCUUGUGACCAGACUUGCGCCGGGCGGAUCAUCCGGUGUUCUCACCGGUGCACUCCGCCCGGCUCAGGCCAGCAUCGGUUCUCGCGGGGGGAUAAAGGCCCCGGGAACGUAGCUCCUCCGGGAGUGUUAUAGCCCGGGGCGCAAUGCCCUCGCGGGGACCGAGGUUCGCGCAUCUGCAAGGAUGCUGGCGUAAUGGUCAUCAGCGACCCGUCUUGAAACACGGACCAAGGAGUCAAGGUUUUGCGCGAGUGUUUGGGUGUGAAACCCGCACGCGUAAUGAAAGUGAACGUAGGUGAGAGCUUCGGCGCAUCAUCGACCGAUCCUGAUGUUUUCGGAUGGAUUUGAGUAGGAGCGUUAAGCCUUGGACCCGAAAGAUGGUGAACUAUGCUUGGAUAGGGUGAAGCCAGAGGAAACUCUGGUGGAGGCUCGCAGCGGUUCUGACGUGCAAAUCGAUCGUCAAAUCUG